rnacentral:lncRNA from 1 species
GACGCCCUGGGUAGAGUAACAAUAAGGAAAUAUUUGAUAAGUAUGGAUGAAACCAAGGGCAGAUUAACCAAAACGAAAGAUUUGAAAGGUAUGGACGAUACCCUGGGUAGAGUAACAACAAAGAAAUAUUUGAAAAUGUAGAGAAACAAAACAAGUGUAGAGAAACAAAAAGAAAAGAAGAUUAGAAAGGUAUGGAUGGCACCCAGUGUAGAGUAACAAAAAAGUAGAAAUUGAAAGGUACGGAUGACACCCUGGGUAGAAUAACAAUAGAGUAAGAUUUGAUAGGUAGGAAUGAAACCAAGGGUAGAGCAACAAAAAAAAAGAAAGACCUGUAAGGGUAGAGUAACAAAACACAAGAUUUGAAUAGUACGGAUGAAACUUAGGGUAGUGUAAUAAAAAAGGAAGAUUAAAAGGUAUGGAUGACACCCUGGGUAGAGUAACAAAAUUGAAAGAUUUGAUAGGUAUGGAUGAAAUCAGGGGUAGAGUCAUUAAAAAAAAGAGAAUUGAAAGGUUUGAAUCAUUACCCAGUGUAGAGUAACAGAAAGGAAAGAUUCUAGAGGUAUGGAUGAAACCAAGGGUUUAGAAAAGAAAAAAAAGAUUUGAAAGGUAUGGAUAACACAUUUGGUAGAGUAACAAUAUAAAAACAAAUUGAUAUGUAUGGAUAAAACCAAGGGUAACAAAAAAGAAAGAUUUGAAAGUUAUGGAUGACUCCCUGGGUAGAGUAACUAAGAGGAAAGAUAUGAUAGGUAUGGAUGAAACCAAGAGUAGAUUAACUCAAAGAAAAGAUAUGAUAGGUUAUGAUGAAACAAGCGUAGAGAAACAAAAAUGAAAGAUUUGAAAGGUAUGGAUGACAAUCAAGUGUAGAGUAACAAAAAAGGAAAAGGUAUGGAUGAAUCAAGGGUUGAGUAACAAAAAAGAACAAAUAAAGAUCUUUGAAAGGUAUGGGUGAAACUAAGGGUAGAGUAACAAAAAAGAAAGAUCUGAAAGGUAUCAGGACACCCUGGGAAGAGUAACAAUAAAUAAAGAUUGGAAAGGUAUGGAUGAAAUGAAGGGUCGAGUAACAAAAAUGAUAGAUUAGGAAGGUAUGAAUGAAAUUAAGGGUAGAGUACCAAAAAAGAAAGAUUUGAAAGGUAUGGAUGACACCCAGUGUAGAAAAACAAAAGGAAUUCUUUGAUAAAGGUAUGGAUGAAACCAAGG